ACCCUACUGCUAUCGGGAUGGGACUAAGACAUGCGAGUCGAACGCCUCUAAGCCACGGUAGAGGCGCGGCGCACGGCUCAGUAACACGUGGCUAACCUACCCUCUGGACGGAACUAACCCCGGGAAACUGGGGAUAAUGUCCGAUAGAUGAAGAGGCCUGGAAUGGUUUUUCACCCAAAAGACGUUGGGACCAUGCUUUUCAACGUCGCCAAAGGAUGGGGCCGCGACCGAUCAGGCUGUUGGCGAGGUAACGGCUCACCAAACCUAUAACCGGUACGGGCCGCGGGAGCGGGAGCCCGGAGAUGGGCACUUAGACAAGGGCCCAGGCCCUACGGGGCGCAGCAGUCGCGCAAACUCUGCAAUACGCGAAAGCGUGACAGGGCUAUCCCGAGUGCCGUCCGCUGAGGAUGGCUUUUCUCUGGUGUAAUGAGCCGGAGGAAUAAGGAGAGGGCAAGUCUGGUGUCAGCCGCCGCGGUAAUACCAGCUCUCCGAGUGGUAGGGACGAUUAUUGGGCCUGAAGCGUCCGUAGCCAGCUAAGCAAGUUUCCCGUUAAAUCCAGCGAUCUAAUCGUUGGCCUGCGGGAAAUACUGCUUGGCUAGGGGGCGAGAGAGGCCAACGGUAUUUCCGGGGUAGGGGUGAAAUCUUAUAAUCCCGGGAGGACCACCAGUGGCGAAGGCUGUUGGCUAGAACGCGCUCGACGGUGAGGGACGAAAGCUGGGGGAGCGAACCGGAUUAGAUACCCGGGUAGUCCCAGCUGUAAACGAUGUAGACUAGGUGUUAGGGCGGCUACGAGCCGCUCUAGUGCCGCAGGGAAGCCAUUAAGUCUACCGCCUGGGGAGUACGGCCGCAAGGCUGAAACUUAAAGGAAUUGGCGGGGGAGCACCACCAGGGGUGAAGCUUGCGGUUUAAUUGGAGUCAACACCGGAAACCUUACCGGGAGCGACAGCAGAGUGAAGGCCAGAUUGAGGGUCUUGCCAGACAAGCUGAGAGGAGGUGCAUGGCCGUCGCCAGUUCGUGCCGUGAGGUGUCCUGUUAAGUCAGGCAACGAUCGAGACCCACUUCCCCUGUUGCCACUGAGGAAAAAUUCUGAUGGGCACUCUGGGGGGACUGCCGCUGAUAAAGCGGAGGAAGGAGUGGGCCACGGCAGGUCAGUAUGCCCCGAAUCUCCCGGGCCACACGCGAGCUGCAAUGGUAGGGACAAUGGGUUCCGACCCCGAAAGGGGAAGGUAAUCCUCAAACCCUGCCUCAGUUGGGAUCGAGGGCUGUAACCCGCCCUCGUGAACAUGGAAUCCCUAGUAAUCGCGCGUCAUCAGCGCGCGGUGAAUACGUCCCUGCUCCUUGCACACACCGCCCGUCGUUCCACUCGAGUGAGGAUGGGGUGAGGCGUGGUCCUUUGUGGCUGCGUCGAUCCCUAUUUUCGCAAGAAGGGAA
rnacentral:rRNA from 1 species